rnacentral:rRNA from 1 species
UACGUAGGGCGCCAGCGUUGUCCGGAAGUAUUGGGCGGAAAGAGCUCGUAGGCGGUUUGUCGCGGCUGCUGUGAAAGUUCGGGGCUCAACCCCGGAACUGCAGUGGGUACGGGCAGACUAGAGUGCGGCAGAGGAGACUGGAAUUCCUGGUGUAGCGGUGGAAUGCGCAGAUAUCAGGAGGAACACCAGUGGCGAAGGCGGGUCUCUGGGCCGCAACUGACGCUGAGGAGCGAAAGCGUGGGGAGCGAACAGG